GAUUCAAAGGUAACCCUCAAUUGAAUUUUUGAAGGCAAUUUUUCAUUAAGUCGUCGUAUUUUAACUUAUCUAGGAACUCAAUUUCAUAGAAGACUUAGUCAAUUCACCACUUAAGCUAUCUUACUGGCAUGGUGUUUAAAAGGUAAGUUAUCACGCUCAACUUAGUAAAACUCAUCUCCGCCAACCACCACUUUCACCGGUAUAAUCAACAAAAUUCGUAAGCAACUCAUACUAUUUGAAAAACCCUCUUUCCAUAAAACUUUUAAAUUAAAGAUGUUCAAUCGCAUUUUGUACUUCUCUCGGCAUAUUUUUUUUAAAUGUCUAAUUUCUUGAAAUACCCAUCCUCAUGAAUAUUUUUUGUUCAUUAUGUUCCAAAAAUUUUUUAAUUUAGUGCGCAAUGCUUCGUCAAUUACCCUUCAUCAGUAGUUCUUGAACCACCACUGCUGCUUUCUCCCACGGUCCCCCUCACAUAUCACCCAUCUCCAGAGACUCCAUCAUCAUUGCUCACACCCUUCGUACAAUUCUUGCCAAUUUAAUAAUCUAGGAUUUUUUUUAAUGAAAAAACUCUGUAGAGGGUUGAAUUAAGGCAUUAGUUAGAUUUUGAUUACAUUUUAUCUAUCUAUCUAUCUAUCUAUCUUGUCAGGCUUUAUCCAUUUUUCUUCUUAAAAUUGUUAAAGAGAUAGGAACAUAAGUGACACUUCAGAGGGACUAUAAUAAGGUGAUAUGAAACAUUUAACAAAAUAUAUAUAUAUAUAUAUGUGUAUGCGCGCGCCAGCAUAUACCAUAUAGAUAAGCGUAUAUAUAAAGGUGUAUACAAAAUUGAAAAUGCCAAUAGCACAAAUUCACACAUGAACCCAGCAGCAUCAAUGGUUGGGAUUUUUGUAAUUGCUGCAUGUUUCUCAACAAUUGAUGUAGGUUAUGUAGUUGAUAGGGUUUCCAAUUUGUUUUUAUACAUGGGGACACAGCUUCUCUGAAUAUCAAUGUUUUGGAUUGUACUGUGCAAUCCAAAACAUUGAUAUUCAGAGAAGCUGUGGCCCCAUGUAGAAAAACAAAUUGGAAACUCGGGUCAACUACAUAACCUGCAAUCCAAACCUUUGAAAUAUUUUUUGAAUCUAUUUUGAUAAUUCAAAUUGUUCAUAUUAUAGAUUCCGUCGUAAAGAUCAAUCUUCUAAAAAAUUAUGUUAAUCGAAUACAUGGGGACACAACUUCUCUGAAUAUCAAUGUUUUGGAUUGUACUGUGCCAUCCAAACAUUUAAACUUCAUUUUGAAUCUAUUUUGAUAAUCUAAACUGUUCAUAUUAUAGACUCCGUCGUAAAGAUCAAUCUUUUAAAAAAUUAUGUUAAUCGAAUACAAAAUGUUAUCCAUUAAGUAAUAUUUUUAUAAUUUAAUAAAUGAGUUUGACACACAAUAUUAUAUCAAUUUAUCUUUAUGUAAAUUGAUAUUGAUCUUGACCUAUACCCAAUCAACAUGAUUUUUUAAUGUAUUAAAUUCUUAAUGAGAUAUAACAUAUGAACGAUAUAAAUAUUUAAAAUAGGCUCAAAACGAGACCCAAAAUAUUUGGAGUAAGCCAAUGUUUUCCAAAAUUGGAUUGCGUAGAAACGUGGUCCAAUACAUGGUGUGUGUGAGUAAGAGAGAGGAGGAGGAGAGAUGGUAGGGGCGGGAGUUGCCUGGAAGUGGGAAUGAGGUGGGUUACUGUGGGUAUGAAAAAUAGGGUUAGUUUUGGCAUAUUGAUAGGCAAAUUGCUCCUCCCCAGACGCCUCCCUUGUCAGACCCCUUGUCCCCUUGUAAAAGUAUAAUUAUGUCCCCUCUCACUUCUCUCUCUCUCCACACUUCUCUCUCUAGUUUUUUUUUUUCAGUUUUUUUUUUUAGUUUUUUUUUCAUUAAUUUUGGUACAAAAAGUUGUUAAUCUUUUUACAGAUCACAAUUUUGCACUUCUCUGAUUUUUGACGAGAGAAAUUGAAAUUAUAAAAAAUUUUAUGUUAUAUUUUAACUUGAUAAAUUAGCUAAAUUCUUUUUUUUUUUUCCUUAGUGAUUUUUUAUUUAAACUGCCAUCAAGAUUUUUUUAUUUUUAAAAAAAAGUAUAAAUUUUAAUUAAACGGUGUAAAAGUUACUAAAAAAUAUUUGAAAAAAUUCAAAAAUUUAACAAUACUAAAGUCUCAUACAAGAAAAAAACUAGGCAACUUGGCCCAAUUUUCACUGGGAACAGCCGCCAAUAAAAAGAUUUUGAUCUAACAUUUGUAUAUGAUGUUCCGAAAAACUGAUUUACAUUGCGUUUGAAAUCGAUGAAAUUAUCUAAACCUCCUCAUUUAUAACAUUGGGGGGGGGGGGGGGGGGGGGGGGGGUACAUUAAGACGUAAAAUGAAUCCACAAUUGGCUUACUGUACAGUUUCGAAACUGGAAGAAUAAUUAGAUGGCGAACAAAAAUUUAAAAAUUUAUAAAAAAAUAGUUACGUAUGUUAAAAAUUCUGGAAAAUUUUAUAUGUUUAGAAAUUUAUAUGUU
rnacentral:lncRNA from 1 species